rnacentral:lncRNA from 1 species
UGGGAAUAUAUGUAUAUAUCGAUCAAUUAAUUUUUAAAACAGGAAGCCAAAUUAACUAGGAUUAACGACGUCGUACAUCAAGGGGAGUUUUUAUUUAUUACAAACAAAUACUCAUAGUAGAGUUUUUUUUUUAAAAUUAAAUAAUUGUCAUCAUCACGUACAGUACUAUAAUUGUUUCUAUUUUCAUUGUGCAGGAAAAUGACAACAUAUUUAUACAAUCGCAAGGAAGCCCUAGAUGUUACGUAUAACAACAACUAUUUACAAUUUAUAUACAAUAAAAUAGCUUGCUUGAGGCUAGAGUGAAGUUUCUCAACCUAUAAUUUGCCGAUUGAGAUAAUGAUCCCUACGAGCUGCAUUUGAAUUGAAAAGCUAUGAAUUCUCACACAAUUUGUGAUCAUGUGACAUAACACAUUAGUGUAUGCAUAUCGAAUAAAGACAAUUUCUUAAACGUAAUCAUACUCGAUACAAUGUUAUUUUUGUUCACUACAAGUUAGUAUUAGUCAAAGCCAACAACACACAUUCUCAAUCCUAUAUGGGCAUACACGCAACAACACACAUGCUCAGUCCUAUAUGGGCAUACGCGCAACAACACACAUUCUCAUUUCUAUAGUGGGCAUACGUGCAACAACACACAUUCUCAUUUCUAUAUGGGCAUACGCGCAACAACACACAUUCUCAGUCCUAUAUGGGCAUACACACAACAACACACAUACAUUUUCAGUCCUAUAUGGACAUACGCGCAACAACACACAUUUUCAGUCCUAUAUGGGCAUACGCGCAACAACACACAUUCUCAGUCCAACAAGCCAAAACAAUGGAAUCCCAGCUGCCUCGACGACUGUCUUCACAUUAACAAUGCAAGAGUUAUAAGGAAAAUA